GGUCCUUGAAGAGAGGUAUUCCCAGGUGAAUUUGUUUUAGUUAUUACGAAUCGGUCUUGGCCAACCUCUUUGCAGUAUC
rnacentral:pre_miRNA from 8 species